rnacentral:rRNA from 1 species
GACGAACGCUGGCGGCGCGCCUAACACAUGCAAGUCGAACGGAGCUUAGAGAGCUUGCUUUUUAAGCUUAGUGGCGAACGGGUGAGUAACGCGUGAGUAACCUGCCCUGGAGUGGGGGACAACAGUUGGAAACGACUGCUAAUACCGCAUAAGCCCACGGUACCGCAUGGUACUGAGGGAAAAGGAGCAAUCCGCUGAAAGAUGGGCUCGCGUCUGAUUAGAUAGUUGGUGGGGUAACGGCCUACCAAGUCGACGAUCAGUAGCCGGACUGAGAGGUUGAACGGCCACAUUGGGACUGAGAUACGGCCCAGACUCCUACGGGAGGCAGCAGUCGGGAAUAUUGCGCAAUGGAGGAAACUCUGACGCAGUGACGCCGCGUAUAGGAAGAAGGUUUUCGGAUUGUAAACUAUUGUCGUUAGGGAAGAUACAAGACAGUACCUAAGGAGGAAGGCUCCGGCUAACUACGUG